rnacentral:rRNA from 1 species
GUCUACAGCCAUCCCACCCUGAACGUGCCCGAUCUCUUCUGAUCUUGGAAGCUAAGCAGGGCUGGGCCUGGUUAGUGCCUGAAUGGGAGACCACCUAGGAAUAUCAGGUGCUGUAGGCA